UAAGCAUGACAUGUUCCAGUUUAAUAUUUUUAAUGGUCAAUAUUUUCAAAUUCCAUUUGCAUUUUGUACUGACAUUCUUCUAAAUAUCUUCCUUUCUGUUCAGCAGAAGAAAGAAAUGCAUACAGGUUUGAAACAACAUGAGGACCACAGAUCUAACUACGUAUAGAAGGUCUGCUGUUCUUCGUGGUCUUCCCCUGUACUUGAGAGAGCCAGCUUCAAUUUCAAAAGACUAUUAAGGAUACUGAGGCACUGGGGCCACACACAAAGGCCAUGAAAAUGGGGAUCCUGGAAGGGACUGACAGUUCUACCAACUCAGGACCAUAUCCCACAGUGGUCAAUGUGGCUGUAGUACUGGAGGAGGAAGUUUUACUGAAUUUCAUUUUGUAAAGCAGAUAUUUGUUUUUCCACUGGUUGAAUACUUGUGUAAUAUUUUACUUGCGCCUAACAGGCAAGUUCAUAUGUACUUAAAUAAAUACAUAAAAUGUUCUUUA